CAAGACUCAAUUUGUGUAUUUACUUUAGAAUUAUUUUCAAAGCUUUUAUUGAAUUUGAGCCUAUUUGACCUUCAGUGAAGGUGUUUGCCAUUGAAAUUUACCUUCUGCAUUCUCCUCUACUUACACCUCUCUACUUACAAAAGAGCAGCUGGAUCCACUACUAAAUGUCUUCUUUGAUAAGCCAGAGGAGGCAUAAAACCAGUGAACUCAAUCCUUCCAAGCAGUGCCUAGUUACCUAACUAGAGACUGAAAGGGCCUGACUUUCUCUUUUGGGUUUAGAUUGAGCCAGUUAUAAAUUUCUGCUAAAACAUUUACGUUUGGCUGGACUUGGCUCCUUAAUUCAUCUAGGUCGGGAGGAAUGACCACUGGCUUCUUUGGAGUUUCACCACUGUGUACUUCAGACUAACAAAAAGCAGCCAUCGUGCCCCAUCUGGCAACUAUGAAGACAUCUCAGGCAAUGGAGACAUCCCAUUACUUUGGGCACACUACUGAAUGACUAGUCAACCUUCACUGUGGGUUAAGGGUCCAAAACUCUAAUUUGAAUUUGAUCCCUCUCACUUUUAUCCUCUUUUUCCCCCUCAAAUGAAAGAGUAAUUUGUUCCUCACUUUAGAAAGGUAGGAUGGACAGAUGGAGAAAAAAGGCAAAAAGAAAUACUUGAACUUAGAUGGCAUAUUUCACUGCGUCAGGAUGUAUCAAAAUACUUUAUAGUUCAUUAAUCAAUUUCUGAAAUAUUGUCAUUACUGUAAAGGAGCAGCCUCUGUGGGCACAACAAACUCCCACAAAUAUUGGAAUAAAAAUCAGACAUUUUCAUUUACUCCUUUUGAUUGGAGGGGGAUGACCAUUAGUUAAAACUGGAGAUAAAUUCCCAAAGAAGCCUGGGUCACUCUGAUAAAUCUUCAUACGUGACAACAACACAAGUCUAUGGCAAUGCUUCACCUUCAACCUUUCUGGCUGCUGGGGUGAUGGGGGAGGGGCAAAGAUGACAAGGAGGAAUAAGCUGAAGGAAUGAAGAAAUCAUUACAAAGGAUGAAAAUAUAUUGAGAUAAGCACUAUUCUGAGUAGCUGUUAAAGCAGUUAUCUCCAGUUUUUAAAUACAAUUUGUUUUUCUGUGGCAAUCAAACAGGAAUGUGCAAAGUAGAGCAAAACCAAUCCAUUCUAGCAAAUAAUUAAAAGCGUCCUAUUCAGAAACAUGAAGGAGAAUUCCACCUUGAUUUGGCUCACAGCCAUGGAAAAUUUCAGGCAGGCGACAACAGAAAUAACAGAGCACUGAGUGCAUUCAGACUGAUUUGUAUAUAUUGCAUUGACUACAGUGACAUUUUUUAAAGCAAACUCCUAGUAGCAAUUGACAGAACUGAGAAGGUUUCUGUUCUCUGCCGGAUGGUAUUACACCAAUGAAAAUAAAGUGAAAGAACACCAGUUAUGCACCUGCACACCUGCUGCCGAGAAAGAAAACCCAUUAUAAGUUGACGGAAGACGAAACCAAAGCGCACUUCAGCACAUCAUUCCAGCAUCAGUGAUUAAUCUAACUACACCCUCUGCCCGAUGUACAUUAGCUAUAUAAUUAAUUACUUCUUAAGGGAUGUCAGCUUGGCAAGGGGUGAAGAUGUAUAGUGGAGAGCAUUCUUAGCGGUCGCAGCACCUCCGGCUAUGAAGGCUCAAAGUGCAGGAGCGAAGAAAGGUUGCAAAGGGCUGUAGACCCAGUCAGCUCCAUCACGAGCACAAGCUGAGGACAUCUUCAAGGCAUAGUGCUUCAUGAGGAUGGCAUCCAUCAUGAAGGACUCUCACCAUCCAGGACUUCCUGCUUUUCAUUAUUACCAUCCAGGAGGAGGUAGAGGAGCCUGUAGAUCCACACUCAAUGUUUAAGGAACAGCUUCUUCCCUUCUGCCAUCAGGUUUCUGAACAGCCUAUGAACCCCUAAAUACUACCCUGCCCCGCUAUUCCUCUUUUGCACUGUUUAUUUAUUUAUUGUAACUUAUAGUAAUUUUUAGUCUUACACUGUACUGCCGCCACACAUGUCAAUGAUAAUAAAACUGAUUUUGAUGCUCUUCAUCAGUGAGAUCAAGUGCACUCUUGGUGAAUCAUUUACAGAGCACUUGCUAUCAGCCAUGACUACCCCAAGCUCCCAGUUUCCCAUUCCCAUUCUGACCUGUCUGUCCUCUGCCUCUCCAGGGCUGGGUGAGGAUCAACACCUCAUAUUCCAUGCAGGAAUUCCACAACUCAAACAGAGAAUCUUCCAAAUUCAGGCACACCUUUCCUCCUCUGUUCCCACAUUCCCUCCUUGCAACCUACAUCCAGUCCUUCCUGUUUUGUCCCCUUUCCCAAAUCUCCUCCUCCAACUCCUAAUUGCCUAAUUUUAUCCCCGCCCCCCCUUCUUAUUCCAUGCUUAUGACCCACUUAUUUUACCAAAUGGAUCCACCACCCUCCUCCAUAAUGUAUCAUCUGCCUACCCCCACUCGACUGGUCCCAUUGUAGUCUCCCUCACUUAUCAGACUCUGGCAUUGGUAGACUUUGUGUUCCUACUUACCAUUAUCCAACAGCUGACUCACCGGCUCAUCUUCAGCUCCCCUCACACUGUUCCUCCACCGAUCAACUACCUGCCUAUGUCUCCCAGCUCCAGCCUCUACCCCUUUCCUAUCUGCAUCCAUUUGUCCAUCACAUUCAUUCAUCCUAACCAAUCAUCACAGAUUCCUGCUGGCCAUUGCCCACCCCCCCACCUCCCCUUUUAUACUGGCAAUCUUCACCUCAUCACUCAGUCCUUAUGCAGGGUUUUGUCCCAAAACUGUGACUGUUACUUUCCCUCACAGAUCCUGCUCGACCUGCUGAACUUCCUCCAGUAGAUUACCGGAGAAUGGUAAGAUCAAAUUAUCACAGGAAAUAUCAGCAUACUUUAAAGGUGUGGUGGCAUUAGUGACAUUAACACAAUUUAAGAUGGAUUGCCAAGUGUACUAUCAGCAGCUGAUACAGUGGUUGGGACAGAGAGGUAUUCAGCAUGCCAAAGUAGACUGGCAUACGCAGCCUUGGAAGAUGUUAAAGCAAAUUGGCAUUGGUACAGUCAGCAUAAUUUUGCUCACGCCAAUCUGUUUGAAAAUAUGCUGACUGUAUUUAACAUCUUCUGAUGCCAUACAUGCUAAUUUCCCUUGGCAUGCAGACGCACUUCAACACCUUAUGAGCCGCUGAUAUUACUCUUUACAAUCCACCUAAAAUUAUGCUAAGACUACAAAUGUUAACCCACCUGAAAGUAUGUCAACAUUUUCUAUGCCAAUCUGACCAGGUCAUGUUAAACUAGUCAAGUCAAUCCACCUUAUAGCACCCUACCUUCAUCUUACUGUGAGGUAUACUGGCAUGAGGUGUAUAACAUGAUUAAAGAUGACGAAAAUCAUUGUGGCUUAAGAUGCACUGUCAUGAGUAAUAUCAGCAUUUUUAAGGUGGAUUGGCAUGAGUGGAGAAGCAUAAAUAUGCCUUCAAGUGGAUUGGCACAGGAAAUACUGGCCUUACAUGAUGAUUUGGCAUAAAACAUAGCCACAUUUUUUAAGGUGGACUAGGGAGGGAGAAGUAUCAGCAAGUCUUAAGGUGGACUAGCAUAGGAAGAGACAGCAUAGGCUUGAAGUGGAUUGGCAUCAGUUUGCAAAUGACAUAAGGUGGAUUAGCAUGAGUAGUAUCAGCAUGACCUAAGGAGCUUUGGCACAGGAAGUAUCAGCAUGAAUUAAGGUGCACUUGCAUGAACAGAAACAGAAUGCCAAGGUGGUUUGGCAUGGGUGAUAUUGGCAUGACUGAAGAUGACUUGGCAUGUGUAUUACCAGCAUGACUUAAGAUGAACUGGUAUGAGACAAAUCAGUAUGUUAAGGUGCACUGGCAUGAACAGUUACAGCAAGUCAAGGUGGACUGGCAUGAUUUGUAUCAACAUGACUCAAGGAUAAUUGGCACAGGAAAAACCAGCAUGUUAAGGUGGAUUGGCAUGAAUAGAAUCAACAUGCCCGAAGAUGGAAUCACUUGACAAGCAUCAGAAUGCCUUAACACAGACUGGCAUUGGAAGUAGCAGUACUAAUGAAGGUGGAUUGGCACCAGCACAAUUUCAAGGCGGAAUGGCAUGAAAAGUAUCUCUACAUCAAGGUAGAUAAUUGAGACAAACAUUUCAUUUAAUUUAUCUGGAAGAGGUGCAAACAUUUGGAACAAAAUCGUAAUUUCAUAUUUUGCAUCUUACAAGAAGAAUUUUCAUAAAUAAAAACAUAUGAAGUAAAGGCUGUAAGCACACUGUUUGACCCCACAUACCUCUUCCACAUUUCAUCAAGAUCAUGGUCAAUCUUGCACCAGUCCCACAUCUUUUGAUUUCCUUAAUACUAAAACAAGUGUCCUCUGCCUUCAAUAUACUCAACAACUGAGCCUCCCAUAACCCUCCAGGGUAAAAAAAUCAUAGAUGCAUUAUGCUCAGGAUGAGGAAACCUGUGUGUAAUAUUUCAGAUGCAGUCUUAUCAGGAUUCUGUACAAUUGCAGUAACACAACUUUAACGCUGAAUUCAAAUCCUUUUGCACUGAAGGCCAAUGUACAAAAUUGUCCUCCAAAUAUAUGAAAAUGCUAACAUUCUAUGAUUUCUAUACAAUAACAUCCAGAUCCCUCUCAACACUGACAGUUCCCAUAAAAAAAAUAGCUUUUCUGUUUUUUAUACAUCACAGUGAAUGACCACACAUUGUUCUACAUUAUAUUCCACCUUCCAUGUCCCUGCCCGCUCAUUUAGUUUGUCCAGAUCCUUUUGAAAUCAUCACUGCAUCUCUUCGCGGCCUGUAAUUCCAUCCAACUUAAUUUCAUUAGAAAAUAUGGAACUAUUGACAUGUGAUCACUGAACCAAAUCAUUGAUAUACAGAUUUCAAUAGCUGGGGCUUUAGCAUUAAUCGCUCCAGCACUCCAUUACUUAGAGCCUCUUUAGACAAAAAUGACCCUCAUUUUCCACUCACUAUUUUCCAAGGAGGGGAGCCAUAGAGUCAUAAGUAGCUAGCCAUCUGGACACAAGCUGGGGGUCUGAUCAGCCCCGGCUGGGUCACUUGGAGGAGGGUGUAUGAUGUUGAAAGGCCCGAAACAUUCGAUGAUUCCGAGAAUAUCACUGAAGAUGUAUCCAGAGGCAUCAGUAGAUGUAUGUACACAACAGUGUCUACUAGCUUAUCCUCAAUCAACACCAGAAUAGAACUUCCAGUGAGUACUAAUGACCUCCUGAAUGGUAUCUUAUCAAGGUCCAGAAACAACAUAUUCAGCAGUUUGAAGAUGAGUUAUUUUGUCAGGUGCAACUCAAAAGAUUCCUAUUAGUUAUUAAAUAUGAUUGCCUUUUUAUUAAUAAUGGUAAUCCAGUCCAAUCCCAUUAUUAAGCAUCCUGUUACCCCCUUCAUUACAUCUGCUUCCAACAUUUUCUCCUUUACUGUUGCUGAUUGGUUAAUACUGCAAAUAAUUAUCCAUUGUGUUGCCAGUAAAUAUAAAGUAUAAAACUACCUGGAUAAGCACACUCUCUGAUUCAUGAAAUACACAUUCUUUACUGACUACACAAUCGAACAUCAGUGAUCUAUCUUUUAGUCGAUUUCCUUUAUCCCCGAAUAUAAAAAGCUGGGAAUAACUCAUUCAUCCCCUCACAUCUGUCUUUCCACUUACUUAAUCAAGCUGAUUUAUAUAUAAUCUUCACUUACUCAUAAUUAUCCACUUUUCAAGCCUAUUAAUUGAUCAAUAAUAAUAUUUCAACUCACCUUUCUCAACCUUUGGCCAAGAGGAUUCCUGAACUCCACUAUAUUAAGUGAAAAGCCAUUCUCCUCAUUUAUUUCAAAGUUCAAAGUCAAAGUUCAAAGUAAAUUUAUUAUCAAAGUACAUAUAUGUCACAAUGUACAAAUCCGAGAUUCAUUUUAUUGCAGGCAUUCACAGUAACUACGAAGAAACACAAUAGAAUCAAUGAAACCCAACAAGAUGGACAAACACCAAUAAUCAAGAGACAACAAACAAUACAAAUAUAACAAGAGAAAAUAAUAAUAAAUAAGCAAUAAAUAUUGAGAACACGAGCUCAGCCCGCUGCUAUUCACACUGCUGGCGCAUGACUGCGUCACAGGAUCCAGCUCAAACCGUGUCAUCAAGUUUGCGGAUGACACAACAGUGGCUGGCCUUAUCAAAAACGAUGAUGAGAUGGAGUACAGAGAGGAAGUGGAGCAGCUGGGCAAUUGGUAUGAGAAGAACAACCUAAGAUUGAACCUGGAGAAAACCAAGGAAAUCAUUGAGAACUGCAGGAAAGGUGCAGAUAAACCAUCCCCCUCUGCGAAUACAUGGCUCCUCGAUAGAGAGAGUUAAGUGCACCAAGUUCCUGGGAGGUCACAUAAUGGAUUACCUCACCUGGUUCCUUCACAUCACCUCCCUGAACAAGGUGACACAGCAGCCCCUCCACUUCCCAAGACAAUUAAGGGAAGCAAGGAUUUCCCCCCCCCCCCCCCCCCAUCCUAACCACAUUUUACAGGAGCAUCAUUGAGAUGCUCCUGACAAAUUCCAUCUCCAUCUGGAAUGGGAGCAGUCAAGCAUCAAACCAGAAGGCCCGACAAAGGACUGUGAGAACAACCAGAAGGAUCACAAGGAAGUCCCUACCAUCCACUGGGGACCAUUAUCAGAAGCGCUGCGUACACAGGGUUAUUAAACAUCCCACCCAUCCAUCCAGCAUCUUCUUUAACUUUCUGCCAUCAGGAAGAGACUACGAUGCAUAAAAACAAGAAUGGUCAGGAUGAGAAAGAGUUUCUUUCCCCAGGCCAAUAGGCUUCUGAAGUCCCUGCCACAUUGUAUUCGAUGUGUCACUGGUUAAUCUGCUCCUUAUCUUACAAUAUUUAAUAUUAAUGCAUUUUAGUUCAUUAUUUGUGUGAUUCAUCUGUAGAUUUUAAUCUUACCUUCAUAAGUCAGUGUGUUACGUGUACUACUUUGCUUUUUCAAUAUACAUUAUAUAUAUAUAGUUUCAAUAUACAUUAUAUAGUUUUAUAUAUAUUAUAUACAUGUAUAUAUUUUAAAUGGCAAUAAACUUGACUUGACUUGACUUGAAAGUGAGUUCAUAGGUUGUAGGAACAGUUCAGUAAAGCGGUGAGAGAAGACGAGUGAAAUUAUCCCCUCUGGUUCAAGAGCCUGAUGGUUGAGGGGUAAUAACUGUUCCUGAACCUAGCGGUCUGAGUCCUGAGGCUCCUGUACCUCCUUCCUGAUGGCAGCAGAGAAGAGAGAUGGCCUGGCUGACGUGGGCCCUUGAGGAUGGAUGCUGCUUUCCUGCAACAGCCCUCCAUGUAGAUGUGCUCAAUGGUAGGGAGGGCUUUACCCAUGAUGGAUUGGGCUGUAUCCAGUACUUUUGGUAGGCUUUUCUGUUUGUUCAAGGGCAUUGCAGGUCAUGAUGCACCAGUCAAUAUACUCUCCACUACACAUCUAUAGAAGUUUGUCAAAGUUUUAGAUGACAUGCUGAAUGUUUGCAAACUUUUAAAGAAGUAGAGGCGUCUGUACUUUCUUUGUAAAGGCACUUACGUGGAACCCAGAACCCAUCCUCUGAAAUGAUAACACACAGCAAGUUAAAGUUGCUGACGUCACCACCUCUGACCCCACAAUAGAGAUGCUUGUGGAUCUUCACUUUCUGCCUCCUGCAGUCAAUAAUCAGCUCCUUGGUCUUGCUGACAGUGUGUAAGAGGUUGAUGUUGUGGCACCACUCAGAGAGAUUUUCAAUCUCCCUCCUAUAUACUGAUUCAUAAUCACCUUUGAUCCAGCAAACUUACAUAUGGCAUUGGAGCUGUGCUUAGCUACAUACUAAUAAGCAUAAAGUGAGUAGGGCAGAGGACUAAGCACACAGUCUUUUGCUGCACAUGUACUGAACAUGAUAAUGGAGAAGAUAUUGUUUCAGAGACAUUCAGGUUAUGUUAAUUCCUGAGUAAGAUAACUCUAAUUUUACAAGUCUCCACUGUUGUUCUGAAUACCCAAAAUGGAUUUUUUUUUACAUCUGCACAAUACUUUAAAAUUUAAACAUUUUAUAGUUACAGGUCGCAAACACGAGGAAAUCUGCAGAUGCUGGAAAUUCAAGCCACACACACAAAAUGCUGGUGGAACGCAGAAGGCUGGGCAGCAUCUAUAGGAAGAGAUGGCACCCAUAUGGCUGCCAACUAUGCCCGCCUUUCUGUUGGCUUUGUGGAACAGUCCAUGUUCCAAGCCUAUACUGGUAUCCAUCCCCCACUUUUCCUCCACUACAUUGACGACUGCAUUGGCGCUGCGUCCUGCACGCAUGCUGAGCUCAUUGACUUCAUCAACUUUGCCUCCAAUUUUCAUCCUGCCCUCAAAUUUACCUGGUCCAUUUACGACAGCUUCCUCCCCUUCCUUGAUCUGUCUCUAUCUCUGGAAACAGCUUAUCUACUGAUGUCUACUAUAAGCCCACGGACUCUCACAGCUACCUGGACUAUUCCACUUCCCGCCCUGUUAACUUGUAAAAAUGCUACCUUCUUCUGUCAAUUCCUCCAUCUCUGCAGCAUUUACUCUCAGAAUGAGGCUUUUCAUUCCAGGCCGAAGAAGAUAUCUUCCUUUUUUAAAGAAAGGGGCUUCCCUUCCUCCACCAUCAACUCUGCCCUCAAACACAUCUCUUCCACUUCAUGCACAUCUGCUCUCACCCCAUCCUCCCGCCACCCGUCCAGGGAUAGGGUUCCUCUUGUCCUGAUCUGACACUCCACCAUCCUCCGUGUCUAACAUAUAAUUCUCCGCCAACAAGAUCCCACUACCAAGCACAUCUUUCCCUCUCCCCCACUUUCCGCAGGGAUUGUUCCCUACACGACUCCUUUGUCAAUUUGUCCCCAGCUCCCCCCAUCCCUUCCCACCAAUCUCUCUCCUAGCAUUUAUCCUUGUAAAUGGAACAAGUGCUACACCUGCCCUUACACUUCCUCCCUCAUCACCAUUCAGGGCCCCAGACAGUCCUUCCAGGUGAGGCGACACUUCACCUGUGAGUCGGCUGGUGUGGUAUACUGCGUCCGGUGCUCCCGGUGUGGCCUUUUAUAUAUUGGUGAGACCCCACGCAGACUGGGAGACCGUUUCGCUGAACACCUAUGCUCUGUCUGCCAGAGGAAGCAGGAUCUCCCAGUGGCCACAAAUUAUAAUUCCACGUCUCAUUUCCAUUCCGAUUUGUCAAUCCAUGGUCUCCUCUACUGUCAAGAUGAAAUCACACUCAGGUUGGAGGAACAACACCUUAUAUUCCAUCUGGGUAGCCUCCAACCUGAUGGUAUGAACAUUGAUUUCUCUAACUUCCAUUAAUGUCCCUCCUCCUCUUCUUAACCCAUCCCUAUUUAUUUGUUUGUUUAUUUAUUUUUAUUAUAUAUAUUUUUUCCUCUCUCUUUCCCUCUCACUAUAACUCCUUGCCUGUUCUCCAUCUUCCUCUGGUGCUCCCCUCCCGCUUUCUUUCUUCCAA